ACGGGAGGCAGCAGUGAGGAAUAUUGGUCAAUGGGCGGAAGCCUGAACCAGCCAAGUCGCGUGAAGGAUGAAGGUAUUAUGUAUUGUAAACUUCUUUAGACGUAGAGAAAUAAGGGGAUCGUGAUUCCUGAUGCUAGUAUACGUAGAAUAAGGAUCGGCUAACUCCGUGCCAGCAGCCGCGGUAAUACGGAAGGUCCGGGCGUUAUCCGGAUUUAUUGGGUUUAAAGGGAGCGUAGGCGGGCCUUUAAGUCAGUGGUAAAAGCGUGUGGCUCAACCAUACCACGCCAUUGAAACUGGAGGCCUUGAGUGCACACAGGGAUGCUGGAAUUCGUCGUGUAGCGGUGAAAUGCUUAGAUAUGACGAAGAACUCCGAUCGCGAAGGCAGGUGUCCGGGGUGUAACUGACGCUGAGGCUCGAAAGUGCGGGUAUCAAACAGGAUUAGAUACCCUGGUA
rnacentral:rRNA from 1 species